rnacentral:lncRNA from 1 species
CAACUGCAACGUCCACUGCUGUUUUGCCUAAUUUGCUUCUCUGCUGGGGGGGAAACAAGUCCUGAAGAGGAAUAAAAACAGCUGGUUCUUUCAACCAUCAAAGGCAGAACUGGACGCUAUAUGGAAGAGGCUCCAAGGUGUCAACGUGCUUCCCGGCCAAGAGACCGCCUCUGGUGUGUGGUUGCUGGAGAUUGUAAGACAUCAGUCAGGUAGGGCAGCCUCGGGGGCCCUGCUGGGGCACAGCACGCGGUUCUUAAGCGCUCCCCAGACAGAGAAGGAAAUGGCGGAGAAAGAAGAGGAGACAGAGAAGCAGAAUCGUGCCAAAGAGAUGGAUUUGGUGGUCCAUUAUUUCGCUCGCUCGCUCCCCUUCCUAGGAAUUCAGCCUCACUGCCUGCCCAGCGCCUUCGUUCCAGGCGCACCCAGCCUGCUGUCUGUUAGGAGCUUUGCGUGUGUGAGAACCCCAAACAGCCUGACGCAGCCUGGAGUCUCACAGCAUCACCCCCAGCAUCCAUUUUCACCGGCAGCCACAGCUGAUUCACUUCACCCCCUGUGUGUCACACUCUGGGAACCAGCCACAGCAUGUCCCCCUCAGAGACAUCAGCACCAGUCAGCCAGCGAGCCUCCUCCGAGCUUGAAGUCUCAGCUCCGCAGAGUUUCUUCUCCAGGCCCCUGGGUUCUAACAACCCCAAUCUCUUUCUUUGUUCCCUCCCCAAGGGCGGUAGCUGCUUUUAUGUAGUUACUAUCUCUGUGUGUCCUCAAUGACUCCUUUCUGCCUUCCCAGCCCUCCAACCCUUUUGAAUCAAUUCUCUAUAUUAAAAUCUCUCUGUAAAAAUAACUGUGGGAGCUGUUUUCUGACUGACUGCCAUGGAUGGCAUAGGGAAAAGUAACCCCCAUCCCCUGUGAGCC